GAUGAACGCUGGCGGCGUGCCUAACACAUGCAAGUCGAACGGAGUCCAGCCUUUAAGACCUCGGGUCAAAGAGGGGAAGACUGAGUGGCGGACGGGUGAGUAACACGUGGGCAACCUGGCUCAUAGAGGGGGAUAACAGAGAGAAAUUUCUGCUAAUACCGCAUAAGCACACACUGCCGCAUGGCAGAGGGUGAAAAGAGAAUCGCUAUGAGAUGGACCCGCGUCUGAUUAGCCAGUUGGCAGGGUAAGAGCCUACCAAAGCGACGAUCAGUAGCCGAUCUGAGAGGAUGAACGGCCACAUUGGGACUGAGACACGGCCCAAACUCCUACGGGAGGCAGCAGUGGGGGAUAUUGCACAAUGGGGGGAACCCUGAUGCAGCGACGCCGCGUGAGUGAAGAAGUAUUUCGGUAUGUAAAGCUCUAUCAGCAGGGAAGAUAAUGACAGUACCUGAAUAAGAAGCCCCGGCUAACUACGUG
rnacentral:rRNA from 1 species